rnacentral:rRNA from 1 species
UACGAAGGGGGCUAGCGUUGCUCGGAAUCACUGGGCGUAAAGCGCACGUAGGCGGAUCUUUAAGUCAGGGGUGAAAUCCUGGAGCUCAACUCCAGAACUGCCUUUGAUACUGGGGAUCUCGAGUCCGGGAGAGGUGAGUGGAACUGCGAGUGUAGAGGUGAAAUUCGUAGAUAUUCGCAAGACACCAGUGGCGAAGGCGGCUCACUGGCCCGGUACUGACGCUGAGGUGCGAAAGCGUGGGGAGCAAACAGGG